CUACGGGUCGCAGCAGUGAGGAAUAUUGCACAAUGGGGGGAACCCUGAUGCAGCAACGCCGCGUGGAGGAUGACGCAUUUCGGUGUGUAAACUCCUUUUAUAUGUCAAGAAAAUGACGGUAGCAUAUGAAUAAGCACCGGCUAACUCCGUGCCAGCAGCCGCGGUAAUACGGAGGGUGCAAGCGUUACUCGGAAUCACUGGGCGUAAAGGACGCGUAGGCGGGUUGGAAAGUCAGGUGUGAAAUCCUGCAGCUUAACUGUAGAACUGCAUUUGAAACUUCUAAUCUAGAGUAUGGGAGGGGGAGAUGGAAUUAGUGGUGUAGGGGUAAAAUCCGUAGAUAUCACUAGGAAUACCUAAAGCGAAGGCGAUCUCCUGGAACAUUACUGACGCUAAGGCGUGAAAGCGUGGGGAGCAAACAGGAUUAGAUACCCGGGUAGUC
rnacentral:rRNA from 1 species